rnacentral:rRNA from 1 species
UGCCCUUAACAGGGGGAUAUCCGGGAGAAAUUCCGACUAAUACCGCAUACGUGCCUUGGGGGCAUCCCCUGGGGAUGAAAGAAUUAUCGGUGAAGGAUGGGCAUGCGUGAUAUUAGGUAGUUGGCGGGGCAACGGCCCACCAAGCCCACGAUAUCUAGGGGUUCUGAGAGGAAGGUCCCCCACAUUGGUACUGAGACACGGACCAAACUCCUACGGGAGGCAGCAGUGAGGAAUAUUGGUCAAUGGACGAGAGUCUGAACCAGCCAAGUCGCGUGAAGGAAGGCGGAUCUAUGGUUUGUAAACUUCUUUAGUGCGGGAACAAAGCGGCGUCGAGACGCCUGAUGAGUGUACCGCAAGAAUAAGCAUCGGCUAACUCCGUGCCAGCAGCCGCGGUAAUACGGAGGAUGCGAGCGUUAUCCGGAUUUAUUGGGUUUAAAGGGAGCGCAGGCUGCGGGGCAAGUCAGCGGUCAAAUGUCGGGGCUCAACCCCGGCCUGCCGUUGAAACUGUCCUGCUAGAGUUCGAGUGAGGUAUGCGGAAUGCGUUGUGUAGCGGUGAAAUGCAUAGAUAUGACGCAGAACUCCGAUUGCGAAGGCAGCAUACCAACUCGCGACUGACGCUGAGGCUCGAAAGCGUGGGUAUCGAACAGGAUUAGAUACCCUGGUAGUCCACGCAGUAAACGAUGAAUACUAACUGUUCGGAGGGCGACCUCUGAGUGGUAAAG